CUUUUCUCUGGCCAGUGGGUUCUUUUCCAUGAGAAUCUUGGAUGGUCAUUGUUUCUUGGGGACUAGGUGCUGCCAGUGUCGUGCUGGCUUCUUUUGUGUAGACCUGAGAUCUCCAGUAAGAAAGGCUCUGUGACACCGUCCCAAGUCACAGGCUUUGCUCUGGGCCUGCCCCAUCAGCAACACUUGCUGUGGUUGCAGUGGUAGUGGUGGAAGCUUGGGACGAGUGUGAGGAGCGAUGGCCCUUGCCCGUCUCGUACUCCUCCUCCUCCUGAUAGCCACGAGCGCCUUGGAAGUUCGUGCUGCUCCGUUACGAGGACCAGGAGCAGGCACAAAACAAGGCGACGGGGGCACUGGCAGCAGCGAUGGUGAUGCAGACCAUCGGUGAGAAGGAGCUGGAGGAGCUGCAGCUCUUGGCUGGCUGCAGCCACGCCAACAUCCCCCGGCUGCUGGCCGCGCUGUACUGGGACGGGCUCCUCCGGUGUGUGCCCAGUGCCUCUGGUCCUGCUGCUGGGCGCCGCUGGAUGCAGCCUGGCUCCGUCCUCUCUGGGCCUCCGUGCAGGGACUGAUGGCGGUGCCUGGGAUCCCCCUGAGCCUCCUCUUCUGCAGGCUGAGCCGCCCCAGCUCUCCCAGAAUUCCCAGCCCAACCGUUCCCCAUCCCUACAUUGUCCCCCAGAGCUGACAGAGGGGGGAGGGAAUUUUGGAGGGGAGGGAUGGGGCCGGUGGGGGCAGCCCUGGGACACUGCCCUUUGUGCUGCCCCGUCCUGCCCUGCAGGUGAGCAUGGGCUUUCGUGCUACAUGAACGGCUGCAGGCAAAGGUGUAGCAAAUUGAACACAAAACAAUAAUUUAUCUUAGAAAACAAGAAAUAAAUGACUGUUUAUUUUAUAAUUGACA
rnacentral:lncRNA from 1 species